rnacentral:rRNA from 1 species
AUUGAACGCUGGCGGCAUGCUUUACACAUGCAAGUCGAACGGCAGCGCGGGCUUCGGCCUGGCGGCGAGUGGCGAACGGGUGAGUAAUACAUCGGAACGUGCCCAGUAGUGGGGGAUAGCUCGGCGAAAGCCGGAUUAAUACCGCAUACGACCUGCGGGUUAAAGCGGUGGUUCUUCCGACCUCUCGCUAUUUGAGCGGCCGAGGGCAGAUUAGCUAGGUGGUUGGGUAAAGGCCUACCCAGGCGACGAUCUGUAGCUGGUCUGAGAGGACGGACAGCCACACUGGGACUGAGACACGGCCCAGACUCCUACGGGAGGCAGCAGUGGGGAAUUUUGGGCAAUGGGCGAAAGCCUGAUCCAGCAAUGCGGCGUGUGUGAUGAAGGCCUUCGGGUUGUAAAGCACUUUUGGCGGGAAGGAAAAGAACUGUGCCAAUACCACGGUUCGAUGACGGUACCCGCAGAAUAAGCACCGGCUAACUACGUG